rnacentral:lncRNA from 1 species
CUUCGGAAAAAUUUUCUGCAGAAAUUUCUUUAUAAUCGUAAUUUGUGUCAUUUGAACGGUAUUUUUAUAAAAUUUCAUCAAUAUGUAUCUGUAGCGAAUCCUGCAAGCAUGAAGUGGAUUCGAUCCACCGUAGCCAAAUUUAAAUCAACACUGCCACAGAACUUUUCCCACGAUGGAACAAUGGUUUUUCUCUGACAGCAGUUAUUACAUUUUCCAGAUGCCUUUAGCUAGGCCAAAAUAAUGUCUUCACCACUUGACCCUUUCUAACCUCUUCUACUUCACCAAAAGCUCGAAUAGAUAACGAGACCACAAACUAAAUCUAUUGUCCUCAAUGAUAUAUCUAUCCUUCUGGAUCUUUAUAUAAGCAAGCACAUCCCAAGCAAAAAUCACUUAGUCACCAGCCAAUGAUGACUCAACGAGGUGUGGCUGACCAACCUUGGUCAGAGGGAGAAAGCAACUGUGAGACAAAACCAUACAACUCUCUCUAGCUCUAAUUCUGUUCUCCUACAACAACAUUUUAUCUCUCUCUAAUUACUACGAACUAUAAGUAUACUGCAGCAAACUAUGUAAUGAAACAUUCUACCGCAUCUAACUUUCGCAUGCUUUUGGAUUUAUCAACUUGCUCGUCGAGGCAAGGUAUUAUAACGUAACGGUAAAUAAACAUAUUUCUUUAAACUUCAAUCAUUGUUCAUUUUUACACAUAUUACAACUUGUCGUUUUAACACCAAAUUAUUAUCGUCACACUUGCUGACUCCAACAUUUCUUCAUAAUAUUGUAUUCCAAAUCAAAUAUCUACCGUUACAACUAUUGCUCCGUUACAUAUCUAUUUUCCUGAAAGUUAUGAUGGGAAAAUCAGAUCUUGUGAAUUUUCCGAAAAUCCUCUCCCCAACCACCCACUCCGCUUUCGUUCGUUUGCGCAAUUUUUUUUCAUAUUAAUUUUCUACACAUUUUUUUUACAUCUAAGUAGAAUAGGUUUUUUUUCUUUCGUUAACUGGUCUCAAACUGUAUAUUGAACGAAAGUAAAAUUUUAUAACCUCACCCCCACACUUUUUACCAAAAGGGAGAAAAAAACCACGAUUUUUCACGUGGAAUCAACUCCCCUGAACUACUUUCCUGCAAAUCCCCUAUUUUGAUGAUUCAGAAAAAGGUGGGGGCGACACCUCUGCAGCCUGGAUAUUUUGGAAAAUAUUUUUUAUUUUUGGUGAUAAGUGUCGGGGUGAGGUAAAAAUUUACCAUUUCCUCAUCACCACAGGUUGAUUCCAUGUGAAAAACCUUGUAUUUUGGUGGAAAGCUUUGUGGUGAGGUGGUAAAAAUUUACCAGAGAGGUAUCUUGUUUUAUUCCUCAUCCUUUAAAUCUUAAGGUCUUGCAAACUUUAAUAGUCCCAGAUAUUGUGAUCAUUUGUAGUGCAUGAAUUAAGGAUUUGUGUUCUCUCUCCAAGAACCCAAGUUCAGUCAUACUUAACUCCAGACUGGUUGGUGUGUAUCCUGUUACUCCAAUAAUAAUAGGUAUAUGAAGCUGAAAGUGUAUCAUGGGUACUGAAUUUGCAAACUCUUUAUCAGUGGUCCACAGAGGUUCUCUUUUAUAUUUUACUAACCACAUUGGUGUCCAGCUAAUUUCCACAAUGGAACAUAUCUCUUCCAUGUGGUUCCACACCACAAUAUCUUGCAAUUUGUGGUUUAACUUAGUGGCUGUUUUAAUUUUUUUAAGUUCCACCAAUAUUCUUCUGACCCAUCAGUCUCAAUAUAGUCAACUUUGUCUGUUUUGUUUUUUAUCUUCUUCCAGACUGUUCUGGCCACCUCCUCAUGCAUCAUUGGCAGAUAAAACCUUCCUUGAUAGCAGCAAUUCAUCUCCCCACCAGCACUAUAUAGUGCUUUCUUCCUCUGAUAAAUUAUCUACCCUUGGGGACAGAUCUGUAUCAGGUCUUAUUUCAUGUCCCCUCAAGUUUAUUGAGCUAUCCUAAUUAUGUUGUUGAUUUCAUGAUCACAAACUUGAGUGAGAUUGUUACUGGCUUCUUUCCUCUGUUGCAGAUGUUGUUUCAGUGUCAUAAUACAUGCUUCAUGUGACAUCAAUACAGAUUUGUGACCAUGGCCACCAUCCUUGUACGGGAAGUAUAGUCUGUCUACAUCUCCAUUGAUAAUGAUGUUUCCUGUAACACUGAGCAGCUUGCAGAUUUGAACUUGAGUUCUUGUAGUGACCAGUCCAGAAAGCCAAAUGUAGGUGUGAGGACAGGCUCUGCAAAGGUAUGUAUGUAGAAACAUCAGCUACCAAAAUUGAACUGCGCAUGAAUGCCAAGAAAACUGAAUACAUGGCUUUCAACCAAUCAAGUGAUGCUGAACAGUUUGCUUUGAGUGGUUUGAAAUAGAAUGAUAUUGAAAGCUUCAAGUACUUAAGUGAUGGGUGAACAGUUUGGAAACAGACAUCAAGGUUGGGAAGGCACAGACUAAAGAGAGUCUGGAACUCCAUAUUGCCCAGGCAAAUCAAAAUCAAGCUGUUCAUUGCAUCUGUCAAAUCAAUGCUAUUAUAUGGCAGUGAAACAUGGGUACUGAAAAUGAAAUUAUCAAAUGUGCUUUUACACAAGGAUGCUACAAAUGGCCCUAAAUGUGAAAUAGCUGCAACAGACAAAUGAAUACCUUUAUGGAAACUUGUUGAAAGUUAGUGAGAAGAUCAGACAAAGAUGGCUGUGACUAUCUGGUCAUUGUGUGCACCACCCUGAACUGAAAGCAUCCAAAUUAGUCAUAUGGAACCUACUUUGCGGUGUUAUAAGAAGAUGCACACAUCAUCGCACUUACAUUGACAACUUGAUAACAGACACUGGCCUGGAAUGUAUCCAGGACUGCAAGGCAAUGAUGUUGAACCAAGAAGUGUGGCAGGUGGACUUUGUUGCUGUGAACCAGGUUGGAACUCGGCUAUAAUAAUAAUAAUGGUUUCAAAUUUUGUCACAAGGCCAGUAAUUUUAGGGGAGGGGCUAAGUUGAUUACAUCGACCACAAAAGAAUGAAAAGUAAAGUCAACCUCAGCAGAAUUUGAACUCAGAACAUACAGAUGGAUAUAUGAGCAUUUUUCCCAGUGCACUAAUGGUUGUGCCAGCCCGCCACCCUAAAUAAUAAUAGUAAUUAUAAUGUGUGUGUGUGUGAGAAAGAAAGAGAAUUUGUAAUGUCAUAUAAACUUUAUAAUAUGCUGUGGUUUUCUGUCUAUAAUAUAAUACAUAUCCUCACCACCCAGGCACACUAUUUCACUUGUCUCUCUCCCAACUAUCACUUCCACAAUGUCCCACCUUAAACUCCUUAUUAACGGUUUUCCUAUAGAUGUUUUAUUUGAAUUAUUUGCACAAUCUCCACAAUUCUUGACGAAAUGCAAAGAUCAUAAAUAAUGCUCUUCUUACUUAGACUGAUGAUGCACAACAAAAGAGAGAAUUUCCUAAGAAGGAAAAAAUUAGUAAAAAUUGCAGAAUUAUAAUACAAAAAAAUUACUUUUGUCAAUAUUUCAUGCUUCCAUAAAAGAUAAGUUGUUUUCCACUUCUAUAUAGAUAAAAGUGAAAUUCUGUCUGUCUGUGACCCCUGUAUCUCAGUCUACAUUUGCCCUGCAUAGACAUAUUAUACUUUUUUGGAAUCAGGGUGAUCUCAGGAUUGAAAAUCUGACCUUCAUUUGGUUCUUGAACAUCCAGCAUUGGGAUCUGAUGAAAGAGCAUUUGGGUUGCUAUUUCUAGCAGGUAAGAUGACCAUGAGAGAUUUUAAAUGGUUUACAAGCACUAUAAUAAUAAACACAACAUUCUGUGUUAGAAAACUGACCAAAACUCUUUGAAUUUAAUACCAAAACUUUGUGACAGUUACCUCCAUUACCUACAAUAAUACAAUUAACAAGAGUCAAGGACAAUCACUCUAAAUCGUUGGACUUCACCUCUUGCAGCAGUACUUUUACAAUGGUCAGCUCUAUGUUGGUUGUUCAAGAGUUGGAAAUGGCAAAAAUCUCUUUGUGUUAACACCAAAUGGUAAAACCAAGAAUUUUGUUCAUCUUACUGCUUUACAGUGAUCUCCAAAUAUUACAAUGAUACAAAAUUCUCCAAAUAUGAUACUCUGUGAUAUAAAUUUGAGAUGAUAGCAAUAAAUGUUUCAUUAUAAUUGCUCUCUUAAGGCAGUGAGCUGGCAGAAAUGUUAGCACACCGGGUGUAAUGCUUAGCAGUAUUUCAUCUGUCUUUACGUUCUGAGUUCAAAUUCUGCUGAGGUCAACUUUGCCUUUCAUCCUAUCGGGGUCGAUAAAUUAAGUACCAGUUGCAUCCUGGGAUCAAUCUAAUCGACUGGCCCCCUCCCCCAAAAUUUCAGGCCUUGUGCCUAGAUUAGAGAUUAUUAUUGCUGUCUUCUGUUUGGGACUGAAAGCUCAAUUAGCCCUCAACAGGAACUAGUUUAAAAUUCUGCAUGGAGUGUGGCUUUUAAGCUAGUUAAUAAUAGAUGUAAAGCUUAAAAUCUGUCUCAACAACUAUUUAUUGGGAUUUUCCCUGGAUGUUUAAUUUUAGUCUUUAUAGUAUUUUAAAUGUUAAUUAUACUUUCACUGAUUUAACUGUUAACUAUAAUAAGUGAGUAUGUAUGUGUAUGUAUUUAUCUUUGUCUUGACAUUGCAUGAUGGUUGUUAAUGAGCAUUACUCAUAUAAGUCAGUGUCCCUCGUUUCCAGUCUUCUGUUGAAACAUAUCCAACCAUGGAAGAAAUAUUAACUUAUUUGGAAACAGGUGAAGGCUGAUGACAAGAAGGACAUCUUGCUGUAGAAAAUCUUUCUCAGGGAAUUUCACCUCACAUGUUCAUGCAUUAAAACAUGGAUGUUAAAAUGAUGAUGAUUACAGUGGGUGGUGUCUCAAACUGGCUUAAUUUUUGAAUCAAGAAAGCCAGCCCACUUAUGCAUACCUUUCCUUCUUGGGACAUAAAACUCUGCUUGCAAAGACCUGUUGAGGCAAGUGAAUUCGAAAUCGAUCAAAAAUCAAUGGAAAUUGUAGUUGUGAUACCAGUGCCGGUGGCAUGUAAAAGAACCAUCCAAACGUGGCUGUUGCCAGCACUGCCCCGACUGGCCUCCGUGCCGGUGGCACGUAAAAAGCACCAACCGAUCGUGGUCGUUGCAAGCUUCGCCUGGCACCUGUGCCGGUGGCACGUAAAAAGCACCCAUUACACUCAGGGAGUGGCUGGCAUUAGGAAGGGCAUCCAGCUGUAGAAACAGUGCCAGAUCAGACUGGGCCUGGUGCAGCCUCCUGGCUUCCCAGACCCCAGUCGAACCGUCCAACCCAUGCUAGCAUGGAAAGCGUACGUUAAACGAUGAUGAUUGAUGAUUUGUUCAUUGGCAAACAUUCUGCCGAAUAGUUCUACAUAAAAUGAAACGUAUCCAGAGGUGUUGCUCCACCAGCACCUCACCAUUUUGUCAAUGUAGAAACAAUAGUCAAAUAGUAUUCUUCUUGUAUACUAGACUAAUUUAUCUUAUUCUGCCUUUUUAAAGUUUCAAGCAUUAUAUAUUCACCUCUCUGAAAUUGAAUAUUAUCUUAGCUAUUCAAAAUAGAAUAUUUUCAAGGAUUUUUCAAAAUGAUUUAACAAAAGAAAAAUAAAUCAAUAAAAGUUGGCUUAAAAUGUAUGAAUGUUCAUUGGAGUUACUUCCCUUAACAAUCCACAACUUCGCAAUUCUGUUUUUUUUUUUAUAAGACUAGAAAAAAAAAAUCCAUAGCAUUUUUAUCUGCUCUUUGAGAUAUUUUUUAUUAGUUAUCAAGGUUGCAUGUAGAUGAGAAGGAAAAAAGUUUUCAGUUAAAAAUAUACAUUUAAAAAGUUUAGUUUAGUUUUG